rnacentral:ncRNA from 1 species
AACCUAGCCAGUGAUAGUUAACUGAGUAUUUCAGGAGUCAGCCGAGGCCAUAGUAGUUCGCCGUAUGGAGAAUAAAGGA